GCUUGGCUUGGAACUCCUCAGUCACCGGGCAGCCAUCUUGGAUCUAGUUAUCAAGCGAACUGUACUUUUUGGAGAUGGGCGAAAGCGACGCGCUCGGGUGUUUUAUAGAGAAGCGUUGCUUCUGAGAACUGGGACAGGGGGCGCCGGAAACCGAAUGAUAACUGAACGUGAAACAGGCUCAGAUAAAGAACAAGCUGGCAGGGAUAUUUGAGAGCGGUUGGGCGAACCCCGUCCCCUUCUCCUUGUGUGGAUGCGGUGCGGCUGUCGGGGGCCUGUUCAUCGCCGGCGUUAGUGUUUCUAUGUUCACAUCGCUUUUAAUCGCAGAGGACCUGGAGGCCUGACGGCGGACCACCCGCUGUUCUCCCCCGUGUCAGCUCUUUUAUUUCGUGGCUCCUUAGUAGCCGGAGACGGUUUUUUUUUUUUUUUUUUAUUUCUCCACAGGUGCGUUCCGAGGGAAUAAUGCCGCCCUGUCCUGUGUGACUCCGCUUUGCUAAGUCAGCCGGGUAGUUUGGUCUUCAGUGCUCAGCUCAUCUUAUUUAAUAAUAUAAGACAAGUUUUAUGAAAGUUUGCCUGCGGACCGUGGCUGAAAUCCCCCUGCGGAUCCAUGUAUGCGUUUUGAGACUGACGUUAACCCCGAAAAGCGAGCUGUAGUCCGUUUCGAGGAGCGCGCUGUGACGGUGCGCGUUCACGAAGACGAUGUCCACCAGAACACCGCUACCCACAGUCAACGAAAGAGACACAGAGAACCACACUUCACACGGUGAUGGACGCACAGAGAUUACCACGCGGCCUAGCCGCUCUGGUGCCCGUUGCCGUAACUCCAUCGCCUCCUGCACAGAUGAACAGCCGCACAUCGGCAACUACCGGUUGCUCAAGACCAUCGGCAAGGGCAAUUUCGCCAAAGUCAAGCUGGCACGGCACAUCCUCACUGGCCGAGAGGUUGCAAUAAAAAUAAUUGAUAAGACCCAGCUGAACCCCACCAGUCUUCAGAAGCUCUUCAGGGAAGUGAGAAUUAUGAAAAUUCUAAACCACCCAAAUAUUGUCAAGCUGUUUGAGGUCAUCGAGACAGAGAAGACUCUGUACUUGGUGAUGGAAUAUGCAAGUGGAGGGGAGGUCUUCGACUACCUUGUAGCACAUGGAAGGAUGAAGGAAAAGGAGGCCAGGGCUAAAUUUAGACAGAUUGUGUCAGCUGUGCAAUACUGCCAUCAGAAGCACAUAGUCCACCGGGAUCUAAAGGCUGAGAACCUGCUCCUAGAUGCGGACAUGAACAUCAAGAUUGCAGACUUUGGCUUCAGCAACGAGUUCACACUGGGCAACAAACUGGACACUUUCUGUGGCAGCCCCCCCUAUGCCGCACCAGAACUCUUCCAGGGCAAGAAGUAUGAUGGUCCUGAGGUAGAUGUGUGGAGUCUGGGGGUCAUCCUCUACACUCUGGUCAGUGGUUCACUGCCCUUUGAUGGCCAGAAUCUCAAGGAGCUGCGCGAGCGGGUGCUGAGGGGGAAAUACAGAAUCCCCUUCUACAUGUCCACUGACUGUGAGAACCUGCUUAAGCGCUUCCUGGUGCUCAACCCAACCAAACGGGGUACACUUGAGCAAAUCAUGAAGGACCGCUGGAUCAAUGCUGGCUGCGAGGAUGAUGAGCUCAAGCCCUUCGUAGAACCUGAACUGGACAUUACGGACCAGAAGAGAAUAGACAUAAUUGUGGGUAUGGGCUACUCACGGGAAGAGAUUCAAGAGUCUCUGGCUCGAAUGAAGUACGACGAGAUCACAGCCACCUACUUGCUGCUGGGCAGGAAAUCAACUGAGCUGGAGGCCAGUGACUCCAGCUCUAGUAGUAAUCUGUCACUGGCAAAGGCCAGACCUAGCAGUGAGCUCAACAAUGGCCAGUCGCCUUCCCACCACAAGGUGCAGAGGAGUGUCUCAAGCCAGAAGCAGAGGCGGUACAGUGACCAGGCGGGCCCAACCAUUCCUCCAUCAGUAGGCUACCCCAAGAGGAGCCAGACCAGCACAGCUGACAGUGACCUCAAGGAGGAAGGUGGGGCACAGCCACGCAAGUCCAGCACAGUGGGAGUCCGGCCCGUGGCUCCACCAAGCCCCAUGUUGGGCAAUGCCAGCAACCCUAACAAGGCAGACAUUCCGGAACGCAAAAAGGGCUCUUCCACUCCAAAUAGUAACUCUGUAUCUGGGGGGAUGACCAGAAGGAAUACCUAUGUGUGCAGUGAGAGGAAUGCCACAGACCGCCUUGCCGUUGUUCAAAACGGGAAGGAGAACAGCUCUGCAGCGACAGCUGGUCAGCGGAACCCAGUGGCAUCCUCCCACAGCAUCAGCAGUGCCACACCGCCAGACCGGCUGCGCUUCCCACGAGGCACAGCCAGUCGCAGCACCUUCCAUGGAGGACAGCUGCGGGAGCGCCGCACCGCCACCUACAAUGGACCACCUGCCUCACCCACCCUGUCACAUGAUGCCACUCCCCUGUCCCAGUCCCGCAGCCGUGGCUCGUCCAACCUUUUCAGCAAGCUCACCUCAAAGCUUACACGCAGAAACAUGUCAUUCAGGUUUACCAAAAGGGUCAAUAUUGACCCCCCCAUACAGCAGACUACAAACAAAUCAGGGCCUGCCGCCCCCCCCUGCCCACAUGGCAAAGACCAUUAGUAAGUCCUCAGUCCACAACCCUCACUCUGCUUGACUUCUGUAUUUCUGUGAUCCUGUGUUGUGUUCAGAGCUUUUUCUGUUCAAUAUUUUGAUUGUUGUAAGUUGUUGUUAUUGGUGUUUUUCCUGUCAGUGAAUUAGCUGCAUUUUUCACCAAACAUGACCCUGCCAUGAUAGAGAAUGAUGGUCAGAAAAAAUGGCUGCAGAGACUCUCAAAUAUAUACAUCUUAAGCAUAACACGUGGCACUCCCACCACAGCACUGCUAUAAUGAGUUGGGUAAUUGCUUGUCAUCUGGAGGCAUUUUGGGCAUUGUCUGCCUAGAGUGAGUGUCUGGCCAUGGGUCUGAUUUCCUGAAGCUCUGUCAUCUCAUCUUUGGCUCUCUGAGCUGUUGAUCCUUAACUCAGCUUUCAGCCAAACCUUUGCCACCUAAUGUGAAAUCCUCCUGUAAACAUUCCUCCUUAGUAAGUUUCUAAUGGUGGCAUUGGUCCCAGACAAACUACUCAUGUACUAGAAGGAGGUAGUCUUGCUUUUGAACCUUGGCACUCUAUGUGACAUUGAUUGUGUGAUAGGUUAUAUCUUAUUAAAGGUGUACCUAUGAAUAUAACAAGUGUAUAUCUUCACUGGCAAAGUUCCUCCUGCUUACUGCAAACCAGUUCAACAAGAUUUCUGUAGAUUUAGGGCGGCUGUGCAGACUGCAUUGCUUUUUUUUUUUUUUGUUCCCCCCUACUCUCCAUGCAACACACUUUCUUGUUCAGUCUAAGCCAUUGACUGCCCUUCAAUCAUUUAAAACUGAGUACCAAAACCCUUUCAGCAUACUUGGUAAAUGCAUGACAAUGUCUUGACUACGUGUACAAUAAUCAGUGAACACUUGUUCUUGGUCUGAGAAGCAAGAUGUUAAAUUAGAUCUGUACAUUCAUCUUGAGACCUUCAAACUUGACUAAGAUGGUCAAGUGCAAGUGUAGUCAAGAGAACUGAGGCGGUUUUACCAUCUGUCUUCAAGUUAGUCCCGGUGAAUGCAUUUGGAGUUGAAGCUUGGAACAAAUACCACACUGCGUGUAACCUAUGUUGUAUCCAUUGGGUGACAGUUGCCUGGCUGAUGGCUUCUUUGUUUUUCCUAGCGUCCUCUGUUCUGCGUUCUUUCUAAACUUUUCCUGUACUAUCACUUCAACUGACAGCUGUCGAUUUUCAAAUGAAGGUUUUUUUUCCCUGUCCUCAGAAUCACUCUUUUUCUCCCCUCUCUGUCUUUCUCUCUCUCUUUCUCUCCUUCAUAUUCUACCCCCCUGUGUCCUUUGACUGGUAAAGGGUCCCGGCAGAGUUUGAGAGAAAUGGGAGAUUUGAGGGCUCAAGUCGCAACGUGGCUGGAGAUCAGAAGGAUGAGAACAAAGAUGCCAAGCCCCGUUCCCUCCGCUUCACCUGGAGCA